CAAGCUCGCACUCGUGCUUUGUCCGCUUGUAUGCUCUCUCUUUUCUCGCGUUUUCUCAGCUGCCAAACGCAGUAUUUUAUCUCACACUGAAGAAGUAGAAGGAGCUGAAUCUGAUUUCUGAGCUAUGGUUGUAGCUGUGGUGGCAUUGAUUUUGGGUGUCUUAUUGGGAGGUUUUAUUUUGAUUCCUCGACACCUUAAAUCUGCUCAAAGACAAAAGGGGCACUUGACUACUAGUGAAAAGAAGGCAUCCAAAGUUUACAGUAAAGCCGAAGUAUCUCUGCAUAACAAGAGAACCAACUGUUGGAUCAUUAU
rnacentral:misc_RNA from 1 species